AGCACAACCCCUACCACUAGCACAACCCCUACCACAACCUCUACCCCAACCUCUACCACUACCACAACCCCUACCACUACCACCUCCACAAAUCCUACCACGUUAUGUUUUUGCACGUAUAAAAAUCUACCUUUCCCUACUGGUUCCUUGAAAUAUAAUGAGACUGACGGGGCAGGCUGGUGUUUCACCUCUUACUGUAACUCAAGUUGUGUUGUUGAGAGACAAGCCAGACCAUGUCCCUGUACGACCCCAGCUACAGUCAGCACUGUCUCAGCUAGUCAGCACUGUCUCAACUACAGUCAGCACUGUCUCAGCUAGUCAGCACUGUCUCAGCUAGUCAGCACUGUCUCAACUACAGUCAGCACUGUCUCAACUACAGUCAGCACUGUCUCAACUACAGUCAGCACUGUCUCAGCUAGUCAGCACUGUCUCAGCUAGUCAGCACUGUCUCAGCUACAGUCAGCACUGUCUCAGCUAGUCAGCACUGUCUCAGCUACAGUCAGCACUGUCUCAGCUACAGUCAGCACUGUCUCAGCUACAGUCAGCACUGUCUCAACUACAGUCAGCACUGUCUCAGCUACA